rnacentral:lncRNA from 1 species
GAAGGAAAAGAAGUACAAUGCUAUGAAUGUGAUGGGAAUGUACACAUUAGAACUGAAUGUGGAACGUACCUCAAGAAGCAGAAGAUGAGUCUUGCUGCCACUUGGUCUGAUGAGAGUGAAACAAAAGAAUCUGCAAAUCUGGUAACUUCCUUGACUGGAAGAUGGGGUUCUGAUGAAGACUCAAGUGAUGAUGAAGUAACCUUUGAAGAGUUGGCCACUACCUACAGAAAGAUAUGUCACAAAAG